rnacentral:rRNA from 1 species
GUACACUCCUACGGGAGGCAGCAGUGGGGAAUAUUGGACAAUGGGCGCAAGCCUGAUCCAGCCAUGCCGCGUGAGUGAUGAAGGCCCUAGGGUUGUAAAGCUCUUUCACCGGUGAAGAUAAUGACGGUAACCGGAGAAGAAGCCCCGGCUAACUUCGUGCCAGCAGCCGCGGUAAUACGAAGGGGGCUAGCGUUGUUCGGAUUUACUGGGCGUAAAGCGCACGUAGGCGGACUAUUAAGUCAGGGGUGAAAUCCCGGGGCUCAACCCCGGAACUGCCUUUGAUACUGGUAGUCUUGAGGUCGAGAGAGGUGAGUGGAAUUCCGAGUGUAGAGGUGAAAUUCGUAGAUAUUCGGAGGAACACCAGUGGCGAAGGCGGCUCACUGGCUCGAUACUGACGCUGAGGUGCGAAAGCGUGGGGAGCAAACAGGAUUAGAAACCCUGGUAGUCCCAUGA